UAAGGAAUAUUGGUCAAUGGAGGCAACUCUGAACCAGCCAUGCCGCGUGCAGGAAGACGGCCCUAUGGGUUGUAAACUGCUUUUGUACCAGAGAAAACCCGAGUACGAGUACUCGGUUGAUAGUACGGUAAGAAUAAGCAUCGGCUAACUUCGUGCCAGCAGCCGCGGUAAGACGAAGGAUGCAAGCGUUAUCCGGAUUCAUUGGGUUUAAAGGGUGCGUAGGCGGACUGAUAAGUCAGUGGUGAAAUCUCUCAGCUUAACUGAGAAACUGCCAUUGAUACUGUCAGUCUAGAGUAUAGAUGACGUUGGCGGAAUAUGACAUGUAGUGGUGAAAUACUUAGAUAUGUCAUAGAACACCGAUUGCGAAGGCAGCUAACGAAACUAUAACUGACGCUGAGG
rnacentral:rRNA from 1 species